rnacentral:tRNA from 1 species
AAUUAAAUGGCUGAUUAAUAGUAAUAAAUUGUAAAUUUAUUUAUAAAGAGUUUUCUUUUUUAAUUA